rnacentral:rRNA from 1 species
GACGAACGCUGGCGGCGUGCCUAAUACAUGCAAGUAGAACGCUGAAGGAGGAGCUUGCUUCUCUGGAUGAGUUGCGAACGGGUGAGUAACGCGUAGGUAACCUGCCUGGUAGCGGGGGAUAACUAUUGGAAACGAUAGCUAAUACCGCAUAAGAGUAGAUGUUGCAUGACAUUUGCUUAAAAGGUGCAAUUGCAUCACUACCAGAUGGACCUGCGUUGUAUUAGCUAGUUGGUGAGGUAACGGCUCACCAAGGCAACGAUACAUAGCCGACCUGAGAGGGUGAUCGGCCACACUGGGACUGAGACACGGCCCAGACUCCUACGGGAGGCAGCAGUAGGGAAUCUUCGGCAAUGGAAGGAAGUCUGACCGAGCAACGCCGCGUGAGUGAAGAAGGUUUUCGGAUCGUAAAGCUCUGUUGUAAGAGAAGAACGAGUGUGAGAGUGGAAAGUUCACACUGUGACGGUAUCUUACCAGAAAGGGACGGCUAACUACGUG